GCUAUUCGAGGUGAGAAAGGUUCCUCACACGCUACAUUAGUAGUCAAUAGAGAUGCAGGAUUGCCGACCUGCCGAAUAGC
rnacentral:ncRNA from 1 species